rnacentral:rRNA from 1 species
GUUUGUUUAACUAUGGCAAUAAGAAGUAUAGUGUGGUUUAAUUGCAUAAAAUAAUUCUAGGUUUUGGUUUAAUGUUAUCACUUGCCUUUAUUAGCUGUUAGUAUUUUGGUUGAAUUUACGUUUUCUAAGAUGUCACACUAUAAAAGGGGAUAGGACACAGUGCCAGCAUCCGCGGUUAAUCUGUUUUCUUUGCUUUUAUUAGAUCAGGGUUAGGAUGAUUAAAUUUAAGGUUUGGUGAAAUUUUCUUGUAUAUUUAUUUAGCAUCGAUUUAAAGAUAUAAUAGUUUAAGCGACAGGGAUUAGAUACCCCCUUAGCUACUAUAGUAAUUUGUUUCUAGUUAUAUAACUAAAAUAGUUUGGCAGCGAGUUAAUCCUAUCGGGGGAAGGUGUGUUUUAAAGGACGACCCACCCAUUAAAUUACCUGUGUUAUGUUGGUGUAUAUCUGGUUAGAUAUUAUUGCUUAAUAGCUUAAUUUGUAUAUUUACUGUUAAGCCAAGUCUAUGUGCUGCUUGCACAGGUUUUCAUGCGUUACAUUGAUAACAGAAUGUAUUGUAAAAUUAUUUAGUUUAGGACUCGAGAGUAAUGUAAAAUUAAAUUGUUUAUGUGAAACAGGUUUAACUUGGGUACACACCGCCCGUCACCCUCGACAUCUGUUGAGGUAAGUCGUAACAUGGUAACCUCAAAUGAAUUUGAGGUUAAUUGCUGCAAAUU